GGCGCGGUAGCAAAGUGGUAAUGCAGUGGACUGCAACUCCGCGAUCGUCGGUUCGAUUCCGACCCGCGCCUCCA
rnacentral:tRNA from 1 species